rnacentral:rRNA from 1 species
UACAGAGGGUGCGAGCGUUAAUCGGAAUUACUGGGCGUAAAGCGCGCGUAGGCGGCUUUGCAAGUCGGGUGUGAAAUCCCCAGGCUUAACCUGGGAACUGCAUUCGAGACUGCAUUGCUAGAGUAUGGGAGAGGGAAGUGGAAUUCCCGGUGUAGUGGUGGAAUGCGUAGAUAUCGGGAGGAACACCAGUGGCGAAGGCGGUUGCCUGGAGCUUUGCUGACGCUGAUGCGCGAAAGCGUGGGGAGCGAUCCGG